AGCUUUGCGCAGUGGCAGUAUCGUAGCCAAUGAGGUUUAUCCGAGGCGCGAUUAUUGCUAAUUGGAAUGGCUUGGAACCAUGAUGUGAUG
ensembl:snRNA LOC120094543 U4 spliceosomal RNA